AUGGACCGCGCCGCGCUCCCGGCGGCCGUCGAGCCCAAGAAGAAGGGCAACGUGAGGUUCGCCUUCGCCUGCGCCAUCCUCGCCUCCAUGACCUCCAUCCUCCUCGGCUACGACAUCGGCGUGAUGAGUGGAGCGUCGCUGUACAUCCAGAAGGACCUGAAGAUCAACGACACCCAGCUGGAGGUCCUCAUGGGCAUCCUCAACGUGUACUCGCUCAUUGGCUCCUUCGCGGCGGGGCGGACGUCCGACUGGAUCGGCCGGCGCUUCACCAUCGUCUUCGCCGCCGUCAUCUUCUUCGCGGGAGCCCUCAUCAUGGGCUUCUCCGUCAACUACGCCAUGCUCAUGUUCGGCCGCUUCGUGGCCGGCAUCGGCGUGGGGUACGCUCUUAUGAUCGCGCCCGUGUACACGGCCGAGGUGUCCCCCGCGUCUGCCCGUGGCUUCCUCACCUCCUUCCCGGAGGUGUUCAUCAACUUCGGCAUCCUGCUCGGAUAUGUCUCUAACUUCGCCUUCGCCCGCCUCUCCCUCCACCUCGGCUGGCGCAUCAUGCUCGGCAUAGGCGCGGUGCCGUCCGUCCUGCUCGCGUUCAUGGUGCUCGGCAUGCCCGAGUCUCCCCGGUGGCUCGUCAUGAAGGGCCGUCUCGCGGACGCCAAGGUUGUUCUUGCCAAGACUUCCGACACGCCCGAGGAGGCCGCUGAGCGCCUCGCCGACAUCAAGACUGCCGCCGGCAUCCCUCUGGACCUCGACGGCGACGUGGUCGCCGUGCCCAAAAACAAAGGAAGCAGCGAGGAGAAGCGCGUGUGGAAGGACCUCAUCCUUUCCCCGACCAAAGCCAUGCGCCACAUCCUCAUCGCGGGAAUCGGCAUCCACUUCUUCCAGCAGUCUUCGGGCAUCGACGCCGUCGUGCUCUACAGCCCGCGAGUUUUCAAGAGCGCCGGCAUCACGGGCGACAACCGCCUCCUCGGCACCACCGUGGCCGUCGGGGCCACCAAGACAGUCUUCAUCCUGGUGGCCACCUUCCUCCUCGACCGCAUCGGCCGGCGGCCGCUUCUGCUGAGCAGCACGGGCGGCGUGAUCGUCUCCCUAGUGGGCCUCGCGACGGGGCUCACCGUCAUCAGCCGCCACCCGGACGAGAAGAUCACCUGGGCCAUCGUCCUGUGCAUCUUCUGCAUCAUGGCCUACGUGGCCUUCUUCUCCAUCGGCCUCGGCCCCAUCACUUGGGUGUACAGCUCGGAGAUCUUCCCGCUGCACGUGCGCGCGCUGGGCUGCUCCCUCGGCGUGGCCGUCAACCGCCUGACCAGCGGCGUGAUCUCCAUGACCUUCAUUUCGCUGUCCAAGGCCAUGACCAUCGGCGGCGCCUUCUUCCUCUUCGCCGGCAUCGCCUCGUUCGCCUGGGUGUUCUUCUUCGCCUACCUGCCGGAGACCCGCGGCCGCACGCUGGAGGACAUGAGCUCGCUGUUCGGCCACACGGCCACGCACAAGCAGGGCGCCGCGGAUGCCGACGACGACGCCGGGAAGGAGAAGAAGGUGGAAAUGGCCGCCACCAACUGA
rnacentral:rRNA from 1 species